rnacentral:tRNA from 1 species
UGCCCAGUGGUCUAGUGGUUAAGAUUCAGCACUCUUGCUGCUGCGGCCUGGGUUUGUUUCCCAGUUAGGGAA